GUCAAUUGUGGACAAGCUGUGGUGGUUAUCAGUUAAAAACAAAGUGAUAAAAGGUACUUUCACAUCACUUCAGGGAGACAGUUUUCCGACGGUCCAGUCCGUUAGAAAAUUCAAAAAUAGAGCACUGCGUUUAACCUUUUUGAGGGCGGGAACUGUUUGGGUUAGAACUGGCUGGCAGUUGUUUUUUUAAUUUUCAUGUCCGCGCGGCAUGGCUCGGCUGCGGUGAGACAUCCGCGCUGCUCCGCGGUCACUCAAACACUGCGAGAUAAAAACCUCGUGUGAUUAUAAACUUAUGAGCUGAACUUUUUUGUUGUGUGCGUCGCGCCGCUGUGUGGGUGGAGGCUUUGUAAAGUUUUCACUCACGUUUUCACGGGCGCUGCUGGACCCUUGAAGACGUUGAUGAAAUGUUACAAGCUGGGUUUAGAGUUUGUUUUUCCUGGAACUGGCGAGAGUGCGAGUUGGCACCUGCCGGCUGGCGCGGGGCCACAGUGUGGCCGGUGCUUUAUCUAAAUAGGUUAAUGCGCGUACCUCGCUCCUUGAGUUGUAUUCCUUAGUAUUGUGUGCUUCUAUUACUGCUACAACACCUUUAUCUUUGAGUUCGUGAUUCGCGGGAUAUUUGCUUAUUAGAACAUGUGGAAUUCUCCACUGAUUUAUUACUUAAUGCGAAAUAAAUUAUAAUUUAUAAUACACCUA